rnacentral:rRNA from 1 species
UACGGAGGGGGCCAGCGUUGCUCGGAAUUACUGGGCGUAAAGGGCUCGUAGGCGGUCUGAUAAGUCCUGUGUGAAAUCCCCUGGCUUAACCAGGGAACUGCGCCGGAUACUGUCGGACUAGAGGCCGGGAGAGGGAAGCGGAAUUCCCAGUGUAGCGGUGAAAUGCGUAGAUAUUGGGAGGAACACCGGUGGCGUAGGCGGCUUCCUGGACCGGUUCUGACGCUGAUGAGCGAAAGCUAGGGUAGCAAACAGG